rnacentral:rRNA from 1 species
AUUGAACGCUGGCGGCAGGCUUAACACAUGCAAGUCGAACGAGUGGCGGACGGGUGAGUAAUGCUUGGGAAUCUAGCUUAUGGAGGGGGAUAACUACGGGAAACUGUAGCUAAUACCGCGUACCAUAGGAUGAGCCCAAGUGGGAUUAGGUAGUUGGUGGGGUAAAGGCUCACCAAGCCUACGAUCCCUAGCUGGUCUGAGAGGAUGACCAGCCACACUGAGACUGAGACACGGGCCAGACGCCUACGUGAUGCAGCAGUGGGGAAUAUUGCGCAAUGGGGACAAGCCUGAUGCAGCCAUGCCGCGUGUAUGAAGAAGUCCUUGGGGUUGUAAAAUGCUUUCAGCGGGGAGGCGUUACCCGCAGAAGAAGCGCCGGCUAACUCCGGGACAGCAGCCGCGGUAAUUC